rnacentral:sRNA from 1 species
UAUAAAUUAAAUUUUACAAGAAAUUUAAACAAAAUAAAAGAUAUUAAUACGGGACGAUAUACUACAAGAGAAAUCUUAGAUAUAUUGCGAGAGAAAUCCUAGAUAUAACAAUCAAAAUUCAAUGAUGAAGUUUGGGUCAAUAUUAAUCUUUUUUGAAGUUUCUAAUUUUAUAAAUAUUUGAAAUUUAUAAUAAAAUGACAAAUUUGUGUUUAAUUUCACGGGACGGGGUUAUAUGGUGUGACAGGUUUGAAUGGAUAAUAACAUGGGAUGAUAUGUUACAGAAAAAACCCUAUA